GAUGAAGAACGUAGCAAAAUGCGAUAAGUAAUGUGAAUUGCAGAAUUCAGUGAAUCAUCGAAUCUUUGAACGCACAUUGCGCCCGCUGGCAUUCCGGCGGGCAUGCCUGUUCGAGCGUCAUUUCAACCCUCAAGCCCCCGGGUUUGGUGUUGGGGAUCGGCUCUGCCCUUCUGGGCGGUGCCGCCCCCGAAAUACAUUGGCGGUCUCGCUGCAGCCUCCAUUGCGUAGUAGCUAACACCUCGCAACUGGAACGCGGCGCGGCCAUGCCGUAAAACCCCAACUUCUGAAUGUUGACCUCGGAUCAGGUAGGAAUACCCGCUGAACUUAAGCAUAUCAAUAAGCGGAGGA
rnacentral:misc_RNA from 1 species